AAAUUAUUUUAGUCAAACUACA
rnacentral:snRNA from 1 species